rnacentral:lncRNA from 1 species
UUAGAAAUAAAAAUUUUAUAAAUUCUAAUUUAUUAAAAUGUUAUGUGCUUGAAGGUUGGAGCUCAAAGAACAUAAGGUUUGCGUCGGCACAAGUUAAGUUGAAAAACUUAUGAUCAGUUAGAAGCUAAUACUUGAAAAGAUAAGUUCUUUAUUCUUGAGCUAAAUAUAACUUUUUUAAUUUUCUUAAUUUGUUUAAUAUCUCAAUUUCUAUUUCUAUGUCAGUACUCCUACCUCAUCUCUACCAAACAUUACUUUUGAAGUAACUCCACCAUGCAAUUUAAUAAAAUUAAAGAUUAGCUACUAACCCUGUCAUGAAAUUAUUUAAAGUUGAGGUAGAGGUACGAACCUAGGAAAUAGAAAUUGAGACAGCCAAGAAAAUAUAGUUCGAUGAUUGUUAAUUAGAAAUAUAAAAUUUAUUAAACUCUAAUUUGUUAAAAAUGGUAUGUGCUUGAAGAUUGGAGCUCGAAGAACAUAAGAUUUGCCUCGGCACAUGUUAAGUUGACGAACUGAUCAUCAGUUAGAAGCCGAUACUUGAAAAGCUAAGUUGUCUAUUCUUGAGCUAAAUAUAACUUUUUUUAUUUUCUUAUUUUGUUAACUUUCUGAAUUUCUAUUUCUAUGUUAGUAUUUCUACCUCAUCUCUACCAAACAUUACUUUUGAAGUAACUCCACCAUGCAACUUAAUAAAAUUAAAUAUUAGCUACUAACCCUAUCAUGAAAUUAUUUAGAGUUGAGGUAGAGGUACGGACCUAGGAAAUAGAAAUUGGGAGAGUGAACAAAAUAUAGUUUGAUGAUUGUUAAUUAGAAAUAUAAAAUUUAUUAAACUCUAAUUUGUUAAAAAUG